UACGUAGGUGGCAAGCGUUGUCCGGAAUUACUGGGCGUAAAGCGUGCGCAGGCGGUUUUGUAAGUCAGAUGUGAAAUCCCCGGGCUUAACCUGGGAACUGCGUUUGAAACUACAAGGCUAGAGUGUGGCAGAGGGGGGUGGAAUUCCACGUGUAGCAGUGAAAUGCGUAGAGAUGUGGAGGAACACCGAUGGCGAAGGCAGCCCCCUGGGUUAACACUGACGCUCAGGCACGAAAGCGUGGGGGGCAAACAGG
rnacentral:rRNA from 1 species